rnacentral:rRNA from 1 species
UACGAAGGGGACUAGCGUUGUUCGGAAUCACUGGGCGUAAAGCGCACGUAGGCGGAUUCGUAAGUCAGGGGUGAAAUCCCGGGGCUCAACCUCGGAACUGCCUUUGAUACUGCGGGUCUUGAGUCCGAUAGAGGUGGGUGGAAUUCCUAGUGUAGAGGUGAAAUUCGUAGAUAUUAGGAAGAACACCGGUGGCGAAGGCGGCCCACUGGAUCGGUACUGACGCUGAGGCACGAAAGCUAGGGGAGCAAACAGG